rnacentral:rRNA from 1 species
CCUACGGGUGGCUGCAGUGAGGAAUAUUGGUCAAUGGGCGAGAGUCUGAACCAGCCAAGUCGCGUGAAGGAUGACGGCCCUAUGGGUUGUAAACUUCUUUUAUAUGGGAAUAAAGUGUGCCACGUGUGGGCUUUUGUAUGUACCAUAUGAAUAAGGAUCGGCUAACUCCGUGCCAGCAGCCGCGGUAAUACGGAGGAUCCGAGCGUUAUCCGGAUUUAUUGGGUUUAAAGGGAGCGUAGGUGGAUUGUUAAGUCAGGUGUGAAAGUUUGCGGCUCAACCGUAAAAUUGCCGUUGAAACUGGCAGGCUUGAGUAAAGUAGAGGUGGGCGGAAUGCGUGGUGUAGCGGUGAAAUGCAUAGAUAUCACGAAGAACUCCGAUUGCGAAGGCAGCUUACUGGACUGCAACUGACACUGAGGCACGAAAGUGUGGGGAUCAAACAGGAUUAGAUACCCCUGUAGUC